UGAGGAAUAUUGGUCAAUGGGCGAGAGCCUGAACCAGCCAAGUAGCGUGAGGGAUGACGGCCCUACGGGUUGUAAACCUCUUUUAUGCGGGGAUAAAGUGAGCCACGUGUGGUUCAUUGCAGGUACCGCGAGAAAAAGGACCGGCUAAUUCCGUGCCAGCAGCCGCGGUAAUACGGAAGGUCCUGGUGUUAUCCGGAUUUAUUGGGUUUAAAGGGAGCGUAGGCUGCGUGUCAAGCGUGUUGUGAAAUUCAGAGGCUCAACCUCUGGACUGCAGCGCGAACUGGCAAGCUUGAGUAGGCACGAGGAAGGCGGAAUUCGUGGUGUAGCGGUGAAAUGCUUAGAUAUCACGAAGAACUCCGAUUGCGAAGGCAGCUUUCCGGAGCCUUACUGACGCUGAAGC
rnacentral:rRNA from 1 species